rnacentral:rRNA from 1 species
CGAACGCUGGCGGNGCGCCUAACACAUGCAAGUCGAACGAGNGAGAGAGAGCUUGCUUUNUCGAGCGAGUGGCGAACGGGUGAGUAACGCGUGAGGAACCUGCCUCAAAGAGGGGGACAACAGUUGGAAACGACUGCUAAUACCGCAUAAGCCCACGGGUCGGCAUCGACCAGAGGGAAAAGGAGCAAUCCGCUUUGAGAUGGCCUCGCGUCCGAUUAGCUAGUUGGUGAGGUAACGGCCCACCAAGGCGACGAUCGGUAGCCGGACUGAGAGGUUGAACGGCCACAUUGGGACUGAGACACGGCCCAGACUCCUACGGGAGGCAGCAGUGGGGAAUAUUGCACAAUGGGGGAAACCCUGAUGCAGCGACGCCGCGUGGAGGAAGAAGGUNUUCGGAUUGUAAACCCCUGUCGUUAGGGACGAUAAUGACGGUACCUAACAAGAAAGCACCGGCUAACUACGUGCCAGCAGCCGCGGUAAAACGUAGGGUGCAAGCGUUGUCCGGAAUUACUGGGUGUAAAGGGAGCGCAGGCGGGAAGACAAGUUGGAAGUGAAAACCAUGGGCUCAACCCAUGAAUUGCUUUCAAAACUGUUUUUCUUGAGUAGUGCAGAGGUAGAUGGAAUUCCCGGUGUAGCGGUGGAAUGCGUAGAUAUCGGGAGGAACACCAGUGGCGAAGGCGGUCUACUGGGCACCAACUGACGCUGAGGCUCGAAAGCAUGGGUAGCAAACAGGAUUAGAUACCCUGGUAGUCCAUGCCGUAAACGAUGAUUACUAGGUGUUGGGGGAUUGACCCCCUCAGUGCCGCAGUUAACACAAUAAGUAAUCCACCUGGGGAGUACGACCGCAAGGUUGAAACUCAAAGGAAUUGACGGGGGCCCGCACA